AUUGAACGCUGGCGGCAGGCCUAACACAUGCAAGUCGAGCGGAUGAAGGGAGCUUGCUCCUGGAUUCAGCGGCGGACGGGUGAGUAAUGCCUAGGAAUCUGCCUGGUAGUGGGGGAUAACGUCCGGAAACGGGCGCUAAUACCGCAUACGUCCUGAGGGAGAAAGUGGGGGAUCUUCGGACCUCACGCUAUCAGAUGAGCCUAGGUCGGAUUAGCUAGUUGGCGGGGUAAAGGCCUACCAAGGCGACGAUCCGUAACUGGUCUGAGAGGAUGAUCAGUCACACUGGAACUGAGACACGGCCCAGACUCCUACGGGAGGCAGCAGUGGGGAAUAUUGGACAAUGGGCGAAAGCCUGAUCCAGCCAUGCCGCGUGUGUGAAGAAGGUCUUCGGAUUGUAAAGCACUUUAAGUUGGGAGGAAGGGCAGUAAGUUAAUACCUUGCUGUUUUGACGUUACCAACAGAAUAAGCACCGGCUAACUUCGUG
rnacentral:rRNA from 1 species